rnacentral:rRNA from 1 species
UACGUAGGGUGCGAGCGUUAAUCGGAAUUACUGGGCGUAAAGCGUGCGUAGGCGGUCCGCGAAGUCUGAUGUGAAAGCCCCGGGCUCAACCUGGGAACUGCAUUUGUGACUGCAUCGCUGGAGUGCGGCAGAGGGGGAUGGAAUUCCGCGUGUAGCAGUGAAAUGCGUAGAUAUGCGGAGGAACACCGAUGGCGAAGGCAGCCCCCUGGGCUAACACUGACGCCUCAGGCACGAAAGCGUGGGGAGCAAACAGG